rnacentral:rRNA from 1 species
AUGCCGAGAACGUUGGCCUUGAUGGCGGUGCAGAGGCACACGGCGGCGUCGAGGUCGGCGAGGCCGCUCAGCAGCGGGCAGCACUGCUCGCUCGCCGGCACGCCGAGGUUGAGCUUCAGCAGGUUAAGUACGUUGGCGCACGCGCUCAGCUUCAACGUGUUGAUCGAGCAGGUGCCGCCGCCGCCAGGGGUUGGUACUGGGACGGCCGGCGGGGGCACGGCGAUCGGCGGGGUUGGUACUGGGACGGGUGGCGGUGGCACGGCGAUCGGCGGCGUUGGGACUGGCACGGACGGCGUGUUGCCGCACGAUCCGCAACCGUGCGAGGUUCCCAUGAGGACCAGGCUCAGGGCGAGGAAGAGGGUGAGCUUGGAGGGCGCCAUUGCUACGAAGCUACGUAGUAGCUAG